UCAAGCUAAGAAGAGCGCAGGGCGAAUGCCUUGGCACUGGGAGCCGAAGAAGGACGCGAUAAGCUGCGAUAAGCUGCGGGGAGGAGCAAAUAUCCAUUGAUCCGCAGAUUUCCGAAUGGAGAAAUCCGUAUGGAGAAGUCCAUACAUCAUAUACUGAAUGCAUAGGUAUAUGAGGGAAACCGCCUGAACUGAAACAUCUAAGUAGGGCGAGGAAAAGAAAUCAACCGAGAUACCGCAAGUAGUGGCGAGCGAACGCGGCAGAGGCCAAACCCGUAGUAGAAAUACUAUGGGGGUUGCGGACUGCAUUUAGCAUUGUUGAUCUUUAACCGAAGGGCAUGGGAAGGCCCACCGAAGAACGUGAGAGUCGUGUAGGUGAAAAGGAGAAACAGCGAGCAGGAUCCAGAGUACCGCGGGACACGAGGAAUCCCGUGGGAAGCCGGGGGGACCACCCUCCAAGCCUAAAUACUACCCAGUGACCGAUAGCGUAUAGUACUGUGAAGGAAAGGUGAAAAGGACCCCGGGAGGGGAGUGAAAUAGAACCUGAAACCCUGUGCUUACAAGCACCGAGAGCCCGUCAAUGGGUGAUCGGGUACUUUUUGUAGAACGGUCCGGCGAGUAUAUGGAACAAGCAAGGUUAAGGUCUUCAGGACCGAAGCCGAAGGGAAACCAAGUCUUAAUAGGGCGCACAGUUUGUUUCAUAUGACCCGAAACCGGGUGACCUAUCCAUGUCCAGGUUGAAGUGGCGGUAAAACGCCAUGGAGGACCGAACCAACCCCCGUUGAAAAGGUGGUGGAUGAGGUGUGGAUAGCGGAGAAAUUCCAAUCGAACUCGGAUAUAGCUGGUUCUCCCCGAAAUAGCUUUAGGGCUAGCGUUGUGUUAGAUUACCGGAGGUAAAGCACUGAAUAGGCUAGGGGGCGAGAGUCUACCGACCCUUAUCAAACUCUGAAUGCCGGAUAAUUGAUGCACAGCAGUCAGACAGUGUGAGAUAAGUUUCAUUGUCAAAAGGGAAACAGCCCAGACCCACAGCUAAGGUCCCAAAUGUAUGUUAAGUGGAAAAGGAUGUCCAGUUGCACAAACAACCAGGAUGUUGGCUUAGAAGCAGCCACACAUUCAAAGAGUGCGUAACAGCUCACUGGUCGAGUGACCGGGCGCCGAAAAUGUAACGGGGCUAAACAUACAACCGAAGCUUGGGCUGCACAGCAAUGUGCGGGGUAGGGGAGCGUUGUGUGCGGGGAGAAGCACGAGCGGAAGCGCGUGUGGACUGCACAGAAGUGAGAAUGCCGGAAUGAGUAGCGCGAAUUAUGUGAGAAUCAUAAUGGCCGAAAGCCUAAGGUUUCUGGAGGAAGGUUCGUCCGCUCCAGGUUAGCCGGGAGCUAAGGUGAGGCCGAAAGGCGUAGCCGAUGCACAUACGGUGGAGAUUCCGUAGCCAUCAAAAGAUUUAAGCAGAGGGACACAGUAGAAGGGUACAUGCCGGGCGUUGGUAGCCCCGGUUGUAAGGGACCGAAAUUAGAGUAGGGAAGAUGGACUUGGAUACUGGCGAGAAAAGCUCUGUGGAUAUCUGCGAUGCCCGUACCGCAAACCGACACAGGUAGGUAGGAAGAGGAUUCUAAGGCCAACGGGAGAAGGGUUGUUAAGGAACUCGGCAAGUUGACCCCGUAACUUCGGGAGAAGGGGUGCUCUGGAAACAGAGCCGCAGAGAAUAGGUCCAGGCAACUGUUUAGCAAAAACACAGCUCUCUGCUAAAUCGAAAGAUGAUGUAUAGGGGGUGACGCCUGCCCGGUGCUGGAAGGUUAAGAGGAGGAGUGAGAGCCCCGAAUCGAAGCCCCAGUAAACGGCGGCCGUAACUAUAACGGUCCUAAGGUAGCGAAAUUCCUUGUCAGGUAAGUUCUGACCCGCACGAAUGG
rnacentral:rRNA from 1 species